AUGACAACUACAGCUGGCUAUUUGACAGAGCAGUGCUCCCCAUGGUAUCCUCACUUCCUUGGACCAUGCUGGAGAGACACCUCACCCCUGCACAAAUCUGUCCUGUGCACUGGAUUCUGCAAGCUCUGUUGGAGACCUCCUUACUCUAUCAUAUCACUGCCCUCCAACUUACAGCUUUUCCCCAAUAGGGCAGAAAAAAUUUUUGCUUCAAGUUAAAUUAUCACCUCUUUGUCUGCCUGUUGUGGACAUGGUGAACAGUUAGCUCUGUAUAAAGGAAAGCUUCUGGCACAUUAUUCUCAUCUUCUCUUUCUAGACUAAACACUACCAUUUCUCUCGACCUUCCUUCAUGAAGUGUGUUUUCCAUACUACUUUAUUAUUAUUCUUCUCCUCUGAACUCUCUCCAGUUUGUUUCUAUAUAUUUAUCUAUAUUUUUAGAGUGUGGUGCCCAAAAGAGGAGAAAGUACUCACUCCCCAGCACCAGCAGAGUAAAACAGAGCAUAAGGCAGAACAUAAGAUGUUCUGCAGUGAGAUUCAUCUUUCCCCAGCCAUAUAAUGCAGCUUACUCUUAUUUAGUUUAGAGGCUGUAGAGUCUUCAGGUUUCUUUAUUGUCCUGUACAGCACAUAAACAUCUUCCAUAUUGUAUUCAUGCAGUUGAUAUCUGUGGCAAGCUACACUUGUUAUUUUUUCUGAAUUUGUACCUCUCACAUCAGAUUGUCUCUCCAGGCUCUAACACAGUCCUCUGAAGUGCUGGCACUUCCCAUCUGCUGGUAUAACUUGAAGAUCCACUUCUUCAUAUUUCAAGACAUUCAUGAAAAUAAUUAUUAGAACUAGACUAACAAGUGACAUCUGUCCAUAUGUGUGUUACAGUGAGCUCAUCUACAGUGCAUUUUUCCAGUUUCUUUUUCAGAAAAGUGUGUAAGACUGUGUGGAAAGCUUUCUUAAAAUCAAGGUCCAACAAGCCUACUCCUUAUCCUUAUCUCUUUGGCCAAUUAAUCUGUCAAAGAACAAUGAAAUGGAUUUGUUUCUGAUAAAUCCAUGCAACACUUUUUUAUCACUAUAAAAAUGUUCAAAGUGUCCAUGAAGUGAUUAUACACUGUAGUAUUGUAGGAUUUAUUUGUUAAGAGCAAAAUUAUCUUUCUAGGCAUUUAUAAUUUAUUAGGCUCCCAUUUUUAUUUUUUUUAUAAUUAAAGUAUAUAUUCUCUCACCCUGGUGUCUUCCAUGGUAUUCCAUAUUUUUGUUUAAAUUACUCAUUGCUGGCUCAGUAAUUGCUUUUGUAGCUGAUUAAAUAUUCCAAGGUGCAUAUGCCUGUCUGUUCUUGUUAACAAAAUGGUUGUGUUCAGUGAUUAUCUGGUUUCAUAGGCCUUACUGGAAGAAAGGUGUCCACACCACACACAGAGAACUGAAAGCUCCAAGAAAUUUAAGGAAUAGAGUGACAUGAGAAAUAAUAUGUAUUUUACAGACCUUGCCAUUGAUUCCCUAGAAGAGUGCUAAAGAUAUUUACUCAGCCAUUACAUGGAAACUUGCAGCUGCAAGUGGAGCAAGGAUUCCUGUUUGAAAGGCCCAGAAGUCAUUUUAGUUAUGUUAGGACUACUGUUAACAAAUAUGUAGGGAAAUUUUAAGGGGUGAAUGAUAACCAGUAGUCACUAAUUUGAUAACAGAAAAAUCUUUCUAUAUGUGCUUGCCUUCUUUGGAUUUUCUUUGAUCACUGUUUAACAUAAAGUAUCAGCUAAAGCUAUGAUUGCAGUUUAUCUUGCUAGUUAGUUUAAGGAUUAGCAAUAUUUCCUCUCUUUAUUGGUUAUCCCACCUCUAUCAUUGUAAUGUAUUGCCAUUUAUCCUAAGUAGAUCAAAAAGAGCCAAGUCUAAUAAAUGCUAUGCCUUCACACUGCUCUCUCUUGGA
ensembl:lncRNA